AUUGAACGCUGGCGGCAGGCUUAACACAUGCAAGUCGAGCGGAGUGAUGGUGCUUGCACUAUCACUUAGCGGCGGACGGGUGAGUAAUGCUUAGGAAUCUGCCUAUUAGUGGGGGACAACAUCUCGAAAGGGAUGCUAAUACCGCAUACGUCCUACGGGAGAAAGCAGGGGAUCACUUGUGACCUUGCGCUAAUAGAUGAGCCUAAGUCGGAUUAGCUAGUUGGUGGGGUAAAGGCCUACCAAGGCGACGAUCUGUAGCGGGUCUGAGAGGAUGAUCCGCCAAACUGGGACUGAGACACGGCCCAGACUCCUACGGGAGGCAGCAGUGGGGAAUAUUGGACAAUGGGGGGAACCCUGAUCCAGCCAUGCCGCGUGUGUGAAGAAGGCCUUAUGGUUGUAAAGCACUUUAAGCGAGGAGGAGGCUCUUUUGGUUAAUACCCAAGAUGAGUGGACGUUACUCGCAGAAUAAGCACCGGCUAACUCUGUGCCAGCCGCCGCAGUAA
rnacentral:rRNA from 1 species